UACAGAGGGUGCGAGCGUUAAUCGGAAUUACUGGGCGUAAAGCGCACGUAGGUGGCUGUGUAAGUCGGGUGUGAAAUCCCCGGGCUCAACCUGGGAACUGCAUUCGAGACUGCAUGGCUGGAGUACGGAAGAGGAAGGCGGAAUUCCCGGUGUAGCGGUGAAAUGCGUAGAUAUCGGGAGGAACAUCAGUGGCGAAGGCGGCCUUCUGGUCCAGUACUGACACUCAAGUGCGAAAGCGUGGGGAGCAAACAGG
rnacentral:rRNA from 1 species